rnacentral:rRNA from 1 species
GCGCCUUCGCCACGCCCGCUCAGAAACUACAAAGGAUGACGGACCCCGCACAAGCGGUGGAUCAUGUUGUUUAAUUCGAUGAUACGCGAAGAACCUUACCAGGUCUUGACAUCCCCCGCGAUGCUUUAGAGAUAAAGCGGAGGUAUUCGGGGAGACAGGUGGUGCAUGGUUGUCGUCAGCUCGUGUCGUGGGAUGUUGGGUUAAGUCCCGCAACGAGCGCAACCCUUGCCUUUAGUUGCCAGCAGUUCGGCUGGGCACUCUAAAGGGACUGCCGGUGUUAAACCGGAGGAAGGUGGGGAUGACGUCAAGUCCUCAUGGCCUUUAUGACCAGGGCUACACACGUACUACAAUGGCCGAUACAAAGGGCAGCGACACUGCGAGGUGAAGCCAAUCCCGUAAAAUCGGUCUCAGUCCGGAUUGGAGUCUGCAACUCGACUCCAUGAAGUUGGAAUCGCUAGUAAUCGUGGAUCAGCAUGCCACGGUGAAUACGUUCCCGGGCCUU